AGACGUGAUGAAAACGACCCACAGAACGUACAGUCUUUAUAUCAGCGUAAAUUAUAAUCAACGUGAACAUAAGCCAGCACUGAUGAUGAAUUUGUUUGUCUGUGUGAUCAUUGCAGCAGUAGCUGUGACUAAUAUCACAUGUAGCAAAUAGAUAAAAGCAACACCUCUGGCUUGCCUUCAACCCAAGCUGACAGGUAUGUGCGAUGGCUACUUCAUUCGGUACUACUACAAUGUUGUCACCCUGAUGUGCCAGGAGUUCGUCUACGGUGGAUGCGAGGCCAACGAAAACAAUUUCCAUUCACUUGAAGAAUGCAAACACAAAUGUAAUGCAUAACCCACAAUUAUUAAUCCUCUUUGUUGGUUAGGAACGUCAGUGUAAAGUGUAUUCAAUUAAUCUGUUCCGAGUCAGACUUAUACAUGACACGUGGAAACACUUUUGAAAAUAAGUAUUGGCUUUUGUGAUAAUUUCUGAAUAUUAUUUGACAUUUUCUGUUAAACCUGCCAAAGUAAAUUGUUAGUAAUUAAGUUAUUAAAAUAAAAAUAACCACUA